AGCGAACGCUGGCGGCAGGCCUAACACAUGCAAGUCGAACGAACUCUUCGGAGUUAGUGGCGGACGGGUGAGUAACACGUGGGAACGUGCCUUUAGGUUCGGAAUAACUCAGGGAAACUUGUGCUAAUACCGAAUGUGCCCUUCGGGGGAAAGAUUUAUCGCCUUUAGAGCGGCCCGCGUCUGAUUAGCUAGUUGGUGAGGUAAAGGCUCACCAAGGCGACGAUCAGUAGCUGGUCUGAGAGGAUGAUCAGCCACAUUGGGACUGAGACACGGCCCAAACUCCUACGGGAGGCAGCAGUGGGGAAUCUUGCGCAAUGGGCGAAAGCCUGACGCAGCCAGGCCGCGUGAAUGAUGAAGGUCUUAGGAUUGUAAAAUUCUUUCAACGGGGACGAUAAUGACGGUACCCGGAGAAGAAGCCCCGGCUAACUUCGUG
rnacentral:rRNA from 1 species